AUCCCUUUCAGCACGGAUUGUACUAAACUUGCGUUGACACUCAAAAAAUUGUAGAGGUCGCGGAUUUUGAUUUUGCUGCGCCGAAACGGUCUCGAUCGUUUGUGCAUUACCUAUUCUAACCGUUAGAACAUACGCGCGGGGGGAAAAACUUGCCAGUGACGCGUCAGGACUUGUGCAAGACAGGAGUCAUGUUUGUUGACGGCCGAGGAAGACGUUGUGCUCUAAACGAGAAUCUGGUGGAACAACUGAUCGGAGAUGGGUGCACAUCUGACUUGGAGGAGGAAUCGAACGAGGAACAACUAAGCGAAGCUUUUCUGUUUCUGGAAAAUGAUGCGGAUAGUCCACACAACGGUGAAAGGAAUGAGUCUGAUGAAGAAAUGGGAGUCCCCUUAGCACAACUGCGGCAAUUAAAUGUGACAGAGCCUAGAAACCAGCCAGCAGCCUCUACUAGUGGUCUACCAAUGCAAGAAAGACGCAGAAUUUGGCGCGCAACUAACUUCGAAAACAAAUGCCAUGAUUUUCCACCAAGAGUAACAGCUGGUGAGGUAAAGAAAUUAAGGUUAAGGACUUGCUGUGGUUCAGAUUGGACCUUGCUGAUGUUCUGAUUGCUUCGUUUCCUCAGGCUGAUCAAGUUUUAGAAGAUGAAGCUCCUAUUUCUGAACCAUCAACUAAAAGAUAUAGAUCAGCUGUUGUUCCAUCGUCAGAUAAACGAUUGGACAAAUUUAACCAUUUCCUGAUCUCACAAGAGGUAGAAAAUGCAGGUUUGAGAACUGCACGUCUUCCACUACUAUCCGUUGCACAAAAUGCAACGUUCAUUUGUGCCUUGCUAGGAAUAAAAUUUGCUUCCUAGCAUGUCAUACCACCAAAUUUUCUAAUUGAUUAAUAUUGUUACUAAGAAGACUGAUUUGUUUCAUUAAAAAUUGUAGGAAAUAUC